rnacentral:rRNA from 1 species
AACGAACGCUGGCGGCAGGCCUAACACAUGCAAGUCGAGCGCGCCCUUCGGGGUGAGCGGCGGACGGGUGAGUAACGCGUGGGAACGUGCCCUUCUCUGCGGAAUAGCCUCGGGAAACUGAGAGUAAUACCGCAUACGCCCUUUGGGGGAAAGAUUUAUCGGAGAAGGAUCGGCCCGCGUUGGAUUAGGUAGUUGGUGGGGUAAUGGCCCACCAAGCCGACGAUCCAUAGCUGGUUUGAGAGGAUGAUCAGCCACACUGGGACUGAGGCACGGCCCAGACUCCUACGGGAGGCAGCAGUGGGGAAUCUUAGACAAUGGGGGCAACCCUGAUCUAGCCAUGCCGCGUGAGUGAUGAAGGCCUUAGGGUUGUAAAGCUCUUUCAGCUGGGAAGAUAAUGACGGUACCAGCAGAAGAAGCCCCGGCUAACUCCGUG